ACCGACGACGGUGACUACAACGUGAAACUGCGCAACCUCACGCGCUUCCUCGAAGAUGGCGACAAGACGAAAAUCACGUUGCGUUUUCGCGGUCGGGAAAUGGCUCACCAGGAAAUCGGCAUGCGCGUGCUCGAGCGGUUGAAGACCGAUCUCGAAGAGCACGGUCAGGUCGAGCAAAUGCCGAAGAUGGAAGGGCGCCAGAUGAUCAUGGUCAUGGCACCGAAGAAAAAGAAGUAAUCGAAAGAAUCGAUCGAUGGAUCGCGCGGCCGGGAAAGUGUUCAAAGGUCUGCGCGGCAUCGUUUGAGCAGGUUUCAGGGCGCUGCCGGAUAAUGGCGGCGC
rnacentral:misc_RNA from 1 species